UAUUGUCAUAUUCUAUUGUUAGUCAAGAAGUCUUAGAGUUGAGUAACAUAUACAAUUCGAGGUGAAUAUUUUGGCACUCACGUCCAUUUAUAUUGCAUAAUUUUUUAUUUUUUGUUUUAUUUUUAAUGGAUAAAAAACUUUUCAUAGUGGACAAUCCGUGACUGGCUUAGCUCCAAAUUCAAUGGAUUCACAACCUAAUAAAAUCCGGAUUUGAUGAAAUAUAAUAUGAGCUCGAUGAAUUCGUGACCUAAUGAACAUGUGACCCGAUG
rnacentral:lncRNA from 1 species